rnacentral:rRNA from 1 species
AAUUAAAACUUUCAACAACGGAUCUCUUGGCUCUGGCAUCGAUGAAGAACGCAGCGAAAUGCGAUAAGUAAUGUGAAUUGCAGAAUCCAGUGAAUCAUCGAAUCUUUGAACGCACAUUGCGCCCGCCAGCAUUCUGGCGGGCAUGCCUGUUCGAGCGUCAUUU